UUUCAUUUGAUCACAUAUGGUAACUCAGUUUUCAACUAUGUCAUGUCGUCCAUUUAUAUUAUAGUUUGAAAAGAUUUCUCUGCUACUUUCUAUAAAAAGCUUCAACAUAUGAGCAAAUGAGAUUGAGUACUCACUGUUUUUUACCAUGUUGCAAUACUUAUGUUUUUUAACAUGUGGCAAUACUUAUAUAUGCAGUUAACUUUUAAUUGCUCCUAUUUACUUCAAGGUUUGCAUCCCUUAUUUAAUUAUUCUUAUUUCUGUUCCUAUAGGGAGGGCUGAAGGUUGUUACAUAAAAGCUAUAGACAACGAGAAAUUCAAUUGACUGUGGAAAUCAAAUGAAUCAGCUAUGACUGCUCUCAGGUUUACCUUUUUGAGACCUCAUUUCCAUCUUCAAAUGUCAAAUUUCUAAACCUUCAGCCCUCAUUUUUUUUCAUCUUCAGUUGAUAUAGGAAACUGAGAAUUUGAAAUUUUACAGUAUAUUGUACCGACUUCUAAUAUUAGAGGCUUGGUUUGUUUUUGUUUCAUCAAAUUACCAAAGUAAACAGGUCUGGAACCAAUUUGAUUUGAUCAAGUUGGUGGUCAAUCGUAUAAGCAUUCCCUUGUUGGAAAUAGUACGAAUUGACCUUGAAUUACUGUUUGUGUUCUCACCCCCUAUUUGGCCUAUCAUUGAUAAAACCUUGAAUUACUUUGAAUUGUGCAUUUUAAUAACAACAUCUGCUUUUGUUCAGGUUAUCUCUCAUCAAUUUAUAGUUAUACAGAUUGUUUAGGCUACAAAACUUGAUCAUGUUCUUCUGUUGAUUCCAUUUUUGUUACUUUUGGUUUCUUAGUCUCUGCAGAUUUACCGAUGACUUCAUUUUUUUUGGCUGGUGCAUGCUAAGCGUUCUUCAACUCAAUAUUUUGCUGGUGUUACUCAAAGUGUGGAGCACUUAGUACAAGAACAACCGGAGUACUAGAGUCAUCUGUUUUUUUUAACGAACACCAGAUUAAGCUCUACUGCUGCAGCUGUAACUGAAACAACAAUUUUUGGAACACUAAGAGCAGCUUUUUUUUU
rnacentral:lncRNA from 1 species